UACGGAGGGGGCUAGCGUUGUUCGGAAUUACUGGGCGUAAAGCGCGCGUAGGCGGAUUUGCAAGUCGGGGGUGAAAGCCCGAGGCUCAACCUCGGAACUGCCCUCGAUACUGCAAAUCUCGAGUCCGAGAGAGGUGAGUGGAAUUCCUAGUGUAGAGGUGAAAUUCGUAGAUAUUAGGAAGAACACCAGUGGCGAAGGCGGCUCACUGGCUCGGUACUGACGCUGAGGCACGAAAGCGUGGGGAGCAAACAGG
rnacentral:rRNA from 1 species